rnacentral:rRNA from 1 species
AAUACAGGGGGGGCAAGCGUUGUUCGGAAUUACUGGGCGUAAAGGGCGCGUAGGCGGCCAACUAAGUCACACGUGAAAUCCCCAGGCUUAACCUGGGAACUGCGUGUGAUACUGGAUGGCUUGAAUUCGGGAGAGGGAUGCAGAAUUCCAGGUGUAGCGGUGAAAUGCGUAGAUAUCUGGAGGAGUACCGGUGGCGAAGGCGGCAUCCUGGACCGACAUUGACGCUGAGGCGCGAAAGCUAGGGGAUCAAACGGGA